AUGCUCCAGAAACUCUUGGUGUUGGUCUUUUGGAUUCAACUGGCAUGGGAGAGCACCCAGCAGCUGGAGCAGAAUCCGAAGUUUCUACGUAUCCAAGAGGGAGGAAAUGUCACCGUGUACUGCAACUCCUCAAGCACCUUCACCUUCUUUCAGUGGUACAGACAGAAGCCCGAGGAAGGGCCUGUCCUCUUGGUGACAUUAACUAAACCAAAAGAAGUGAAGGAGCAGAAGAGAAUAAGGGCUGAGUUUGGUGAAGCAAGAAAGGAUAGCUCGCUUCUCAUCACUGCAGCCCAGCCUGGGGAUGCGGGCACCUACCUGUGUGCAGGGGUGGUUAAUGCAGGCAACGUGUUCACAUUUGGAGGGGGAACAAGGUUAAUGGUCAAACCUCAAAUCAAGGACCCCAACCCCACUGUGUACCAGCUGAGAAGCCCCGAAUCCAGCAACACUUCUGUCUGCCUAUUUACCGAUUUUGACUCAAAUCAAAUCAACCUGACACAAAUUGGGGGGUACGAGUGGAACAUGGUACACAAAACAGACAGCACCGUGCUCAACAUGGAGAUCCUGGGGUCCAAGAGCAACGGGAUAGUGACUUGGGGAAACACCAGCGAUUCUGGAUGCAAAAACACCUUCAACGAGAGCAUUAAGUUCCUCCUCAACUCCGGAAUCCCCUGUGAUGCCAAGCUGGUAGAGAAAAGCUUUGAAACAGAUGUGAACCUAAACUCCCAAAACCUGUCAGUGAUCGUGUUCCGCAUCGUCCUCCUGAAGGUGGUCGGGUUUAACCUGCUCAUGACGCUGCGGCUCUGGUCCAGUUGAGGUCACCGACAGCCUGAGAGCCCCAUGCUCCCUCGCCCCUUGCUCCUCGUCGCCCUUCCUCUCCCUCUUCAAGCAGAGAGGCACACUGUCUGCCCCCAUGGAUGAGAAGGCUCCCUCCUCUCUCUGGCCUGGCUGGCCAUACCAACUGGAUCCUCCAGAUACUGGUGAUCAAGAUGCUGACAAGCUGUCCAGCACGGCUGCCACCCACGCUGUUCCUCACUGCUGCUUGUCACUGCCUGGCAUUCUUGGCAAAGUCAGGGGGCUGCUGCAGCCUCUCCUGGCUGUGGGGACACUCCCUCCCCACCUCCACACCCCAAAGACUGCCUCUGAUGUCCCACUGGAUGGUGGAUCCCCAGUGGGUUCUCUUGGGCUCUAGCUCCUGGAGAAUGUUGUGUGUUGUUUAUAUUUUUUACAUAGUGUUCAUAAAAAUAUAUAUAUCACCCUUUUUCACAAGAUGUAGGGAAAAAUUACCUUUUCAUGAUCUAGGCCCUGCUCUGCUGUGUAUCUGAGCCACAUUGUAUAUUCUGCUGCCACGGCUUCAAUAAAAGUGAUUUGGAAGAGA